UCUUGGGGUUAAUGUCCUGUGCUUGUCUCUGCACACAGGCCAAGCUAACUAUGGGAGGAAUUUAGCUUCGAGUUUAAUUUUAAAGCAAGGAUGAUCAUAGUCCCUUCCCUAAACUAACCCCCAGGGACAUAGGACAGCACACACAAGUAACCAUGCUAUGUUAAA